UAUGUAUGUUCCAGUUUUUUGUUUUUUGUUUUUGUCUUGCAGGACCCUGAAUUUCUCCUGUUGCUUCUUUUCCCCUUCACCAUCCAGUUGCCAAAAGGCACCUUGCCUAUUCUUUUUGCUCUCUCCACUCCCUGAAGCUAUCCUGUAAUAAGUGUUGUGAUACUAAGAUACUUUAUAUUUUUGCACCUAGGAUAGAAUUUCUAUCUCUGCUGGUGAUUUUAGACCAAUUUUAGGCCUGCCACUAGAUCCGUUUUUCUUUAUUCUGUAUGUUCUUCUUUGGCCUGCCCUUGCUUGCUACAAAGGCUUAUGGUAGAAAUGUGAAAGAUCACUCACUUGGAUUUGGUGCUUUUAAUUUUUUUACUUAUAAGUAUUUGACAUUUGGCUAUAUUUUUCUUCUUGUUAGGCUGAGGGUGUAUUUUGUAUAGAUUUAUUUAUUCUUCUUGUUCUGUAUCGUUUAUGACGGACAUAGGUAGCUGCCAUUUUAUUUUAUUACCGCGAAGUCCUCACCUAUUCACUCUUAAAUCUACCUCAUUGAAGACUUCAAUAACUAUUUGUUGUUGGAAGCCAUAAUGAAACUGUUGAUCAAAUUACCCAAUCCAAAUCAAAUUAACCAAAAAGACUUUCUUCAGUCUUCAUAUUAAUUACCUUCCCUGCAGAACAGAACAUGGUUGCCCAUUAUGUGAAAUUCCUUUUACUUCUUUGGUGGUCCUGUCUGUUUUCUUAUGCCUAAUUGUUGCUUACGGUAUACUUGCUGUUUGUUUGUUUGUUUGUUUGUUUCUUUUAUACACUCAUUAAGUGAGUUCUCCAUCUAAAUAUCCCAUAAGGCACUUCAGAAUCAACAUAUCCAAAAGGAAACAUAUUUUACUCAUCUCCAAAUCUUUUGUUUCUCCAGCAAUUCAAGUUUUGGUGAAUGAAGCUAUGAACAAUCCAGUAAUCCAAACCAGAAACUUGAGAGUCAUCUUUUUUACACCUCCCACUUUGCAUCUCUCACAUUGAAUAAGCAAUCAUGCCCUGAGCCAUAUACUUUCUUAGCAUCUCUGCCAUCCUCCCUAUCCUCUUUGGUAUGGCCUCUCUUCAGACUGCCUCCUUAGCUCUCUUCUGGAUCACUAUAACAGCCUAACAAUUGUAUCACCUUCAGUUUUGCUCUUUCUUCCAUAUGACUAUCAGAAUUAUUUCUCUGGAAGAUCAUGUCAAUCACUCCUUCUCAGUGGUUCUUCAUUGCCUAUAGGAAGAAAUCCAAACUCCGUAGCAUGAGAGAAAUGUUUUUCAUAAUGACUUUAUCCUGCCUUUCUAUUGUUUCUUUCAUAUCAUGCCCAGCUCAGCCCCCCAUUCAAUGAAAAUCAUACUAAACUACUUUAAUUCCACUAACAUGUUGUGCUAGUUAAGCCUCUUUACCUUUGUUCAUGCUGUUUUUACUCAGACCACUCCAUUCCACAACAUACACUUGGGGGAUACCUACUAAUUUUGAAGACCCCCUUCAGCCCUGAUGUUAACCUUCUUUGUGGAAUCAUUAUUGACAUGAUGGAUAGAAUUGGUCAGAUGCUUCCUUGUUCAUCAGUUGUACUAGGCACAGCAUUCUAAUGUAGCACCUAUUACACAUUUUAAAAUUUGUUUACAUGUCUCCCCUCAUGUAAGUUUGUAGGACUGGUACCUGAAAUAUACUAGGCUUACCUUACUGACAUUUUGAAAUAUAAGAUAGCUUUCCAAGGCUUGCUUUUGCCUCCUGAUUCAGGACUCUACCAUUGGCAUCAUCAGGAAGAAUUUCUAAUAGUAUUAUUGAUCAGAGUCUUCUGGAAGUUUCUGCAGGUUACACAUCAACUUACUUUUCCCUGACAAAAUAAUUCUGCAUCUAGAAACACAAACAAGUAGUCAAAGAAGUUAUAUUGGAACUAAGAGAUGAAUUACCAAAGGAAAACUGAAAUCAAGAAACAUUUGAUGAAAUUCAGGCAAUGUCUUCAGGUGCCAGAGGACACAGAAAUGUCCCGAGAACCAUUCACAUGAUCUUAAAGAAACUUCUGCUGGUUGUCUUGUACCUUUGAAGCAGGUGUGAUUGAGAUGGAUACCUUAAUUUUUUUAAAGUAAAAAUUGUUCAUUCUCUUAUGUACUUUAGCAUACUGGUAUUCUUAUCAAAAUAUGAAACAGCAUCAAGUUUAAUAUUAAUUAUAAAACACAUGGUAUAUUUAUAUUUCUGCUCUUUAUUUUCUAAAGUUAACUCAGUUAACUCUCCAUAUAGGUAUUUGGACAUGGGCUGUAACCACUUUUUAGAACAAAUACUGUGAAGAUUGUUUUAUUACAUGACAUUUUAUGAUGUGAGAUUAACACCUUUGUGUUAGUAAACAUCCUAGAUUGUUCACUUCAAUAUAGAUUUUUAAAAUGUAUAGUUAUACUUGUGCAGGAUACUAGAAAAUGAAAAUGACUGUUCACACAUGCUUUAUUAUUCAGUAAUUUUACAAGAAAAUAUUACUGUUUGAAAGAAAAUCAUGCAUGCCUAAAACUGAUUCUGUUCCAGUUUUAUAAGUUAGUAUACUAAUUUUAAGACAUUGUGUAUAUUUCCUUCACUUAAUUUCUAUUUUCUACUGCAUUUCUACCAAUAUAAAAAACAAAGAAUUCAGUUGGUUCCUUUCUAGAGGGAAAAUUUGUUGUGAGUAUAGUACUGGGCAUCACAUGCUGCUUCCCUUUGUGGCUUUGAAUAAACCCUUAUUUUCUUGUCCAUUUUGUCUCAAAGAAUUUUAAAUGGCAUUGUCUAAACUCAGGAGUAUUGUGUGGAUUGAUUAGUAUGAGAAGUUUCUUUCAUGGUAAGUAUAGAGUUUAAGUAUAUAAAAUCAACUCUUGGUCAUAUAUGUAAAACACAAUUGAGAAGUAAAACUUGCCAUCAACUCUUGGUUAUAUACAAAAAAAUUGAGAAGUAAAACUUGCCAUACAUAUUAGUACAAGUAAUUAAAAACGGAUUAUAGCUUGAAAGGCAUUAGAUCUCACAUUAUUUACAUUCUCACUCCUUUUAGCUCCUUUGCUUUUUUGUUCUCUUGUUUGCAAAGAUUAAAAAUAAUGUUCCUGGCAUUUUAAUGGAACAUUACCAAAUGUACAUUCAUGUGUAUUGAUCAAAGACCAACUUUCAUUAGUGAAAAAAUCUAAUUUUUUCUAGACCAAUUAAAAGGAUAAAAUUCUCUUAUUUGAAUAAUAAGAGAAUUAAAGAGUUUAUUAAGCAAAAACAGUUGCUGAAAAAGCGUAGCAAAGACUGACUAGACUGGCUAGAAUUUCCUCUUCUUCCAGGACAGAUGGUUCUACGACAUUUUAAGCCUUCUUUGUAAUGGCCGAGUGACUGGGUUCUAGCUAGUGGAAUGUGAGUGGAAGCCUUUUACCUCAGAAAAGACACACAAUUCUGCAUGCCCUUUCCCCUUCUGUGGCAUGGUGCAAACAUGCAUGGUGACUUUGGAAGCCACAUUUUGACGAUGGUGGAGCCGCAAGAUGAAAAGAGCCUAGGUUCCUGAAUCACCAGGUGGAGGAAUAUUGCCAAUCCAUCAGUAAUGUAUUUUGUACUUUAUCAGAGCAAUAAAUAAAAUUCUCUACUUUUAGAGCCAUUAUACAUUUUUUUUUUUUAUUUUCAUUGCAGUUGUCGCCUGAACCUAUAUAGAAAUUGGUACCUUGAAAAGUGGAGGUUUCUGAACAAAAAAACCUUUAAGUUUUGCAGACUGUUCAAGAAGAAUGGUGCCAGCAUCUGCAUCAGGUGAUGGCUUCAAGUUAAAGAAAGAAGGUUCAUGGAAGAAGGUGAAGGGGAGCCAAGCUGGCUGUGUACAGAUAGCACAUAACCAGAAAGGAAGCAAGAGAUUAAUACCCACUGGGGUCACCACCAGAAGAAACCAGAGAAUGAAAACAGCACCUACUAAUGCCAGGAAGGCAGAGCCCAAAUAAGAAAACACUCCAUGUGGAGUGAAAGCUGCAGGAUGCUCUUUUUACCUCCCAUCUAUGUGAUUUGGUCAGCCUUACAAGUAAGUGGGUACCAAGUGGUAACUACAUGAAAGAGAACAAAUAGAAUAUUUGGGGUGACCAAUAAUGCUUAAAAUGUUACAUGUUGUCAGUUAUAAUUUGCAUUAAUGUUUCCUCCUAUUUAAUAUAUAUUGAUAGAAACUGUAAUAGGAAAUUCUAAAAAUGGGAUAAAAUAGAACCACAAUAUGAAAUUCUAAAAUUAGAAUUUUAAAAUGAAAUUUUAAAAAUUCUGAAAAAUGGCUUUGAGGGUGCAAUCACCAGUUUCAUGUAGCGUUAAGCACACAAGCUUUGACGAGCUAUAAGAUCUGGGAAAGCACACCUCUCUGAGCCUCAAUUUCCUCAUGUGUGAACUGGAGAUAAUAAUGCUUACGUUAUAUGGUGCUCAAUCAAGGUGGUGUGUGUAUAAUACAUAUCGUAGAACAAAGUGCUUAGAAAAUUAUAUUCUAAUACAAUGGUAUUAUUAUUGUAAGUAUUGUAUUUUGUGGUAUAUAGUACAGCUGACGACAUUGAUUGUAUACUAAAGGAGAGUUUACAAGCUAAAAAAUCUAUUAUAUUUUCUCCCAAAGAAAAGAUUGGGGGAUAGUAAUACUCUUGGAGAGAUGAAGAAAGAGUGGGCAGAUGGAAGGUGCAGGUAUGGAUUGGUGAUGAUCCUGACCAGCCAGAGAUUUAUACAUGUAAACUUGGAGAAGAUGGGCCUGGAACUGCAAUUUGGAGGAGGAGUGCUCUUUGGUGGAGAGGAGUUGUGAAUGUCAGUGUGUGCCUAACAGUAGGAAACUGAGGAGAGAGGAUGAUAUUUGGUCUAGAAGUGUUCAAGCAAGAGAGAAGAGUGAGUGGCAGACUUGAAAACCCUCUCUGUGAAACUCAGCUAGUCUCCCUGCAUGUGCACUGUGGCAUUCUCGUUGUUCAGGUCUCAUCAUCUCUGGCUCUGACUUUCCCUUGCUUGGGGUCCCACACACUUUGGCAGACCCUCAGGUGGACUCUCACACGAAUCCCAGGUGUAUUCCAGACACUGUUUUCUCAUAAGUCCAGUCUCUACUUUUAGUCUCUCGGGUAUUGGCCACAGUUUCUGGUCUGCCUAGAAUUUCUCAGCAUGGCUAUGCGUGUCCUCAUUAUACACAUUACUUUAGGGUGUGUAAGUGUGUAGACAUUUGACAUGCAUGGAUAUGCACAUAUACAUUAUUUUGGUGGAGGAUAUAAGGAGUUUGCAGUAUGUGCCCAGUUCUCUAUUUUGAAACUGAGAGUCCUUUAAUUUAGAUGCCUUUUCUAUUAUACUGGGGAAAAUGAUAAAGUAAAACAAGUGGAAUGGAGGAGCGGAUAGGGCAGAAAAUAAGUAGGUGCAUCACAGUAAGUGAACUGAAGAGUUCCCACUUCUAUCAGUGGUCUCACAAAGAGGUGGUUUUAUUCUUAAUAAAGCAGCAUUUUAUCAUUAUAAAGAAUCAUAGAAUAUCAAGUUAUUUAACAAAAUCUUCCUCACCUGCCAUAGAACUCUGAGUACAAGUUCAUAUUUUCAUUCAAAUAAUUCUGCUUUUUCACGAGGUGGGGCAGAACCCCACAAAUCAAUUUCCCUAAGUGGCUGAAGUUAAGAGAGAAAGUUUUUCUAAGAACCCAACUGGAAAUCUGUUAUGAAACUUCAGCAGAAUGAGCUGUGUCAGUGUGGAGUCCAAUUUAAUCAUUACCUCAUUUGUCUCAUGCUAAGUCUUUGCUUCCACUUUUCUUCAUACUUAGACAAUCAGUGUCUUAACUUUAUAGUUUUAAAUGAGCUCCCUCUAGACACACAUCAAACACUUGAAAUAAUGUACGUUAUGUAAAAGAAAUGGUCCAAAGUGAACACCCAGUGAAAAUGUGAAUUAAGACUAAUCUAAUCUUAACCUUCCAAAAUAAGAUGACUCUACAUCUCUAGAAAGACUUUUAUUCUUCUUUUUCUCCUCACCUCUUAUUCUCACCCAGAUAAAAUAAAUCCUAUAAAUUUAUAGCCCAUAUUGCUAUCAAAGUUUAUUAACAUGAUGAUAUGACAAAGGAAAAUUCCAACACAACAAAUUUAAAUACUAUACUCUGGGCACAUAAAUAUUAUGGUGGCCAGCAGAAGCACAAAAGCUGCAAUGCUGUUUUGGUUUAGAAGGCUCGGUUUGAGACUAACCCUUCAGAAAAAUGGGGCACUGUUAUCAUAAUUUUUU
rnacentral:lncRNA from 1 species